rfam:Chlorocebus sabaeus isolate 1994-021 chromosome 20, whole genome shotgun sequence.
AAUGCGCCUGCAGCUCGCGCUCCCGCGCCGAUCCCGAGAGCGUCCGGGCCACCGUGCGCGAGCGAGGGAGGGGGCGCGCGCGCGGGGGGCGCGCUCGUGAGUGCGGGCCGCGCUCUCGGCGGCGCGCAUGUGCGUGUGUGCGGGCUGCCGGGCUGCCCCGAGCCGGCGGGGAGCCUGUCCGCUCCAGGAGGCGGGCGGCGGGAGCGAGGUGAGGCUGCGGG